GGUCCCGUCCAGAUAAAAGGGAACCAGGUGAGAUUCCUGGACAGACCACGCUGCUGUGUUUCCCACAACCAAGUUGUAGCACACACACACAUUCUAUACUAUCGUCACUGUCGAGAAAAUGAUGGGAAGGCGGUGCUACAGCGGGAUAAGCCAGAAAACCUGCCACAAUGCAU
rnacentral:ncRNA from 1 species